rnacentral:rRNA from 1 species
GACGAACGCUGGCGGCGUGCUUAACACAUGCAAGUCGAGCGGUAAGGCCCUUUCGGGGGUACACGAGCGGCGAACGGGUGAGUAACACGUGGGUGACCUGCCCUCAGCUCUGGGAUAAGCCUGGGAAACUGGGUCUAAUACUGGAUAUGACUCCACGGUGCAUGUCGUGGGGUGGAAAGCCUUGUGCGGCUGAGGAUGGGCCCGCGGCCUAUCAGCUUGUUGGUGGGGUGANGGCCUACCGAAGGCGACGACGGGUAGCCGGCCUGAGAGGGCGACCGGCCACACUGGGACUGAGACACGGCCCAGACUCCUACGGGAGGCAGCAGUGGGGAAUCUUGCGCAAUGGGCGAAAGCCUGACGCAGCGACGCCGCGUGAGGGAUGACGGCC